rnacentral:rRNA from 1 species
AACGAACGCUGGCGGCAGGCCUAACACAUGCAAGUCGAACGCCGUAGCAAUACGGAGUGGCAGACGGGUGAGUAACGCGUGGGAACCUUCCCAAUGGUACGGAAUAGCUCAGGGAAACUUGAGGUAAUACCGUAUACGCCCGAGAGGGGAAAGAUUUAUCGCCAUUGGAUGGGCCCGCGUAGGAUUAGCUAGUUGGUGAGGUAAUGGCUCACCAAGGCGACGAUCCUUAGCUGGUCUGAGAGGACGACCAGCCACACUGGGACUGAGACACGGCCCAGACUCCUACGGGAGGCAGCAGUGGGGAAUAUUGGACAAUGGGCGCAAGCCUGAUCCAGCCAUGCCGCGUGAGUGAUGAAGGCCUUAGGGUUGUAAUGCUCUUUUAGCGGGGAAGAUAAUGACGGUACCCGCAGAAUAAGCCCCGGCUAACUUCGUGCCAGCAGCCGCAGUAA